CGGAGCUGAAAGGUACUGUAGACUCUAUUCAUAGCAAGGUGGAGGUGGUACAAAGGGAUGAAAGGUAAUGUAGUCUCUAUUCAUAGCAAGGUGGAGGUGGUACAAAGGGAUGAAAGGUACUGUAGUCUCUAUUCAUAGCAAGGUGGAGGUGGUGCAAAGGGAUGAAAGGUAAUGUAGUCUCUAUUCAUAGCAAGGUGGAGGUGGUACAAAGGGAUGAAAGGUACUGUAGUCUCUAUUCAUAGCAAGGUGGAGGUGGUACAAAGGGAUGAAAGUUACUGUAGUCUCUAUUCAUAGCAAGGUGGAGGUGGUGCAAAGGGAUGAAAGGUAAUGUAGUCUCUAUUCAUAGCAAGGUGGAGGUGGUGCAAAGGGAUGAAAGGUGCUGUAGACUCUAUUCAUAGCAAGGUGGAGGUGGUGCAAAGGGAUGAAAGGUAAUGUAGACUAUUCAUAGCAAGGUGGAGGUGGUGCAAAGGGAUGAAAGGUACUGUAGUCUCUAUUCAUAGCAAGGUGGAGGUGGUGCAAAGGGAUGAAAGGUAAUGUAGACUCUACUCAUAGCAAGGUGGAGGUGGUGCAAAGGAAUGAAAGGUACUGUAGACUCUAUUCAUAGCAAGGUGGAGGUGGUGCAAAGGGAUGAAAGGUAAUGUAGUCUCUAUUCAUAGCAAGGUGGAGGUGGUGCAAAGGGAUGAAAGGUACUGUAGUCUCUAUUUAUAGCAAGGUGGAGGUGGUACAAAGGAAGAACAAACAAGUUAAAGAAACCUUGCUUGAUGUACAGUGUCGAUCAAUGCGUGACAAUCUAAUCUUUUCAGGGAUACCAGAGAAUGACAACAGCAGAAGCUGUGAGGACAGUGUUCAAGCUUUUAUGUCAACUUUACUGUGAGGGAAAAAAGUAUUUGAUCCCCUGCUGAUUUUGAACGUUUGCCCACUGACAAAGAAAUUAUCAGUCUAUAAUUUUAAUGGUAGGUUUAUUUGAACAGUGAGAGACAGAAUAACAACAACAAAAAAUCC
rnacentral:lncRNA from 1 species